rnacentral:lncRNA from 1 species
UGCAGCGGCGUUGGGCUUGAGUUGCCAUCACGGAACACAGAGAGAGAGAGAGAGAGAGAAAGGCAGUAAAGGCGGACGAAACGGUGGAAGUAAAUGCAAAGGCUCGCGGUGCGAAGGCUUCUCGGCUGCUGCAGCCGCUCUGCUCUCGCUCUUCACCUCACCCGCCUGGAGGCACAAGUGCACACAAAUGGAGGCACCAGCGGGGAAAGAUGAGCGGGUGAGUGGUGCCGCAGCUGCAGAUAACCAUUGAUCUCUCUGUGUAUGGGUUUGAGUGGAUCCACUUUGCUCGGCUGCAGGGUCUCAUUUUGCGUUGAGAAUUUCUAGGCAUUAUUGCUUUUUUGUUGGGUUUGUAUGCAUGUGGGUGGUGUUGAUGCUGCUUAGAUUUCCAUGUCUGGUUCUUUGUUUCUUGGCCUAUUCGUUUCCUUCUCUCAGCCUUACAACAUCAAGAACUGGAGGUUAAACACCCACUAUCUCAUAUUAACUUCU